GUGACCUGUUAAACGGCCGCGGUAUCCUAACCGUGCAAAGGUAGCGUAAUCACUUGUCUUCAAUAAAGACUAGAAUGAAUGGCCAAACGAGGUUCCACCUGUCUCUUACAAACAAUCAGUGAAAUUGGUCCCCCCGUGCAAAAGCGAGGAUAACAUUAUAAGACGAGAAGACCCUGUGGAACUUUAAAUAUAAAUCAACUAUCACACUUACUACCCUAAAGACUUAUAACUUACUAGUUCUGAUCCAUAUUUUUGGUUGGGGUGACCUCGGAGUAAAACAAAACCUCCGAAAAAAGAACAUACUUUCUUAACCUAGAUUUACAACUCAAAGUGCCAACGGUAAAAUGAUCCAAUUAUAUUUGAUCAACGAACCAAGGCUACCCCAGGGAUAACAGCGGCAAUCCCAUCCUAGAGUCCCUAUCGACGAUGGGGGUUUACGACCUCGAUGUUGGAUCAGGACAUCCUGAUGGUGCAACCGCUAUCAAGGGUUCGUUUGUUCACGAUUAACAGUUCCCCGUGGUCCUGAGUUCAAACCGGAGA
rnacentral:rRNA from 1 species